AGAGUUUGAUCCUGGCUCAGGAUGAACGCUAGCUACAGGCUUAACACAUGCAAGUCGAGGGGAAACGACAUCGAAAGCUUGCUUCCGAUAGGCGUCGACCGGCGCACGGGUGAGUAACGCGUAUCCAACCUGCCCACCACCUUGGGGAUAACCUUGCGAAAGUAAGACUAAUACCCAAUGAUAUCUCUAGAAGACAUCUGAAAGAGAUUAAAGAUUUAUCGGUGAUGGAUGGGGAUGCGUCUGAUUAGCUUGUUGGCGGGGUAACGGCCACCAAGGCGACGAUCAGUAGGGGUUCUGAGAGGAAGGUCCCCCACAUUGGAACUGAGACACGGUCCAAACUCCUACGGGAGGCA
rnacentral:rRNA from 1 species